rnacentral:rRNA from 1 species
AUGAGGCUGGACUUUCAGAUGUGGAAACAACGCCUGAAAAGGGGAGGCGGAAUUGCGGACCUCCCCUCUGAUUUCAAGGAGAAGGCGCCCACCGGCACCGCACCGCACCUUACCGGUUCCUCUCUGCGGCAGCAAACUCCUCCCAUCCAUCCCUCGUCCAUCCUGGCUCAGGCGCGAGAGGGUGGAGAUGAGGAGGAAGGCGCUCGCACGGGGCUUCUCCGCCGACGGCGUUCUCCGCCGCAGCCGCCCGCUCCCAGCGCGCCGCCGGCCACCGAAGGGGACAAUAAUAGCACGAGCAAGGACAAGAAGAAGGGCGAGAUCGCCAAGACCAUCCGAGACAGGCUAUCAUCGUCUUUGUCUUCCCCCAGAAGCCGCCUCUCCUGCUGGACGAGCCACCCGAUCCGGCGGAGCAGGAGGGGGAGCGGCACCGCCAGCGACGAACAUGGCACACCGGUGAACGUACCGAUGCCAGUGACGGCGAAGGCAAUCAGGCCCCCCUCAAGGAAGGCGAUCGCGGCAGGGACCAGAUCCCUGAUCGAACGCAACGAUUUCUACAGCCAAGAAUGCAACACGCACAAGUAG